rnacentral:pre_miRNA from 1 species
AUUCUACUCCCUCCGUUGCACAAUACAUGCCUUCUAUUUGUCAAAAUAUAUAUGUAUCUACACAUGUUUUAGUAUAUAGGUACAUCCAUUUUCGGACAAAUGGAAGUCAAGUAUUUUGGAACGGAGGGAGUACACA